CUCCCCCGUUUCUGGUGUGAGUGAACGCGUGUGGCGGCUACGCGUGUGUAUCUUACAGAUACCAUUUGCGUAGAAAUAUCGCAUCCAACCAGUCCCAGUCCCAGUCCCAGUUCGAGAUCAGUUCAUGCGUACUGCUUGUUUUGCGCCAGCCCGUUUUGAUACCCUGGAACAAAGAUGCUACGACUGGCACGAUCAGAGGUGAAGCGAGGCACGUAUACCACCAGCCAUUUGGUUCGAGCAACCUCUAGAGAAAUCCACCUAGAUAAUACUAGUUUGCACAGCCAAUCCAUCUUGGAGGUUUAAGAACCAGUUUGAUCUUCAGGAGGGCCUUUACUUUGUUGUCCUUUAGAAGAUAAUAGCUCCUUUAGUUGUAGGUCCAAUGGUCCAUUGAGAACACCCAAUAUAGGUGGUCCAUUGAAAAUACCAAAUCUCUUUGUUCAUUUUUUAGGGGAUUUGGGAUAUUGGAUGGGAUGGGUGGGGUGGUUUUGGAGGGCUAUAGUGGGUGUUCUGGAGGGGAUCUAUUCUUCGAUUGUUUCAUCGUUAGGCAAUUAUUUAGGAUUUCUUUAGUUUUAACUUGACUUUAUGCUUUCAGAGCUCUUAGUAUAAAUGUUUCUCAUAUUUCGUACAUAUAUAUUUUGUAAUUACAUUUACAUUGGUAUCUAUUAUGUGUAUCUUUUUAAUAAAACCUUUAAACUUUAUCGUUAUCUUGAUGACAGGUUCCAAAGGAAUCUAUAAAAUUCUUCAAUGUUGCGUAUAUGUUUUUUUAUUUUUAUAACUCACAAUGCCGAUUAGCACUUAUCAGAUAUUUAUUUAAGAGUUUCUGCAACAUUAAUUUAUACAGAUGUUUACUAACA